GGCAACCCUGAUCCAGCCAUUCCGCGUGAGUGAAGAAGGCCUUCGGGUUGUAAAGCUCUUUCAGCUGGAACGAAACGGUACGCUCUAACAUAGCGUGCUAAUGACGGUACCGGCAGAAGAAGCACCGGCUAACUACGUGCCAGCAGCCGCGGUAAUACGUAGGGUGCGAGCGUUAAUCGGAAUUACUGGGCGUAAAGCGUGCGCAGGCGGAUUGUUAAGCAAGAUGUGAAAUCCCCGGGCUUAACCUGGGAAUGGCAUUUUGAACUGGCAGUCUAGAGUGCGUCAGAGGGGGGUGGAAUUCCACGUGUAGCAGUGAAAUGCGUAGAGAUGUGGAGGAACACCAAUGGCGAAGGCAGCCCCCUGGGAUGACACCGACGCUCAUGUACGAAAGCGUGGGUAGCAAACAGGAUUAGAUACCCUGGUAGUCCACGCCCUAAACGAUGUCAACUGGUUGUUGGGGGAGUGAAAUCCCUUAGUAACGAAGCUAACGCGUGAAGUUGACCGCCUGGGGAGUACGGUCGCAAGAUUAAAACUCAAAGGAAUUGACGG
rnacentral:rRNA from 1 species